AAGACCUUACUUCAUAGGAUCAUUUCUAUAGUAAGCUCUUCACGAGACUCACACACUAGGUGAGACUACACCAGCCAUGUUGAUGAGAUGUGGCGCGGUGUCCUGAGCGUGAGACGGACGUUGACCUAUGGCCAACAGUCUUCGAUGAUCGUUCACCUGGCUUCUUCGGUGGUCAGGCGUGGGAUACUGUCGCUUUCUGAGUGGC